AACGAUGACUCUGUGCUUGCACAGAUGAUUAGUGGCGAACGGGUGAGUAACACGUGAGUAACCUGCCCUUGACUCUGGGAUAAGCCUGGGAAACUGGGUCUAAUACUGGAUAUGCACCGUGGACCGCAUGGUUCUUGGUGGAAAGAUUUUAUUGGUCAAGGAUGGACUCGCGGCCUAUCAGCUUGUUGGUGAGGUAAUGGCUCACCAAGGCGACGACGGGUAGCCGGCCUGAGAGGGUGACCGGCCACACUGGGACUGAGACACGGCCCAGACUCCUACGGGAGGCAGCAGUGGGGAAUAUUGCACAAUGGGC
rnacentral:rRNA from 1 species